AUUGAACGCUGGCGGCAGGCCUAACACAUGCAAGUCGAACGAGUGGCGGACGGGUGAGUAAUGUCUGGGAAACUGCCUGAUGGAGGGGGAUACCUCCUGGAAACGGUAGCUAAUACCGCAUACCAUCAGAUGUGCCAUGAUGGGAUUAGGUGGUUGGUGGGGUAACGGCUCACCAAGGCGACGAUCCCUAACUGGUCUGAGAGGAUGACCAGCCACACUGGAACUGAGACACGGUCCAGACUCCUACGGGAGGCAGCAGUAGGGAAUAUUGCGCAAUGGGCGAAAGCCUGAUGCAGCCAUGCCGCGUGUAUGAUGAAGGCCUUCGGAUUGUAAAGUACUGUCAGCGGGGAGGCGUUACCCAAAGAGGAAGCACCGGCUAACUCCGUGCCAGCAGCCGCGGUAAUUC
rnacentral:rRNA from 1 species